rnacentral:rRNA from 1 species
UAAACACAGACAGUCCACAUACCCUACUGUCCGCCCGGGAACUACGAGCAUCAGCUUAAAACCCAAAGGACUUGGCGGUGCUUUAAACCCACCUAGAGGAGCCUGUUCUAGAACCGAUAAUCCCCGUUCAACCUCACCCUUCCUUGUUCUUUCCGCCUAUAUACCACCGUCGUCAGUUUACCCUGUGAAGGCCAAACAGUAAGCACAAUCGGCAUAGCCCAAAACGUCAGGUCGAGGUGUAGCGUAUGGAAGGGGAAGAAAUGGGCUACAUUCCCUGAAGUCAGGGCAUACGGAUGACAUACUGAAAUGCAUGUCUGAAGGAGGAUUUAGCAGUAAGCAGGAA